rnacentral:ribozyme from 1 species
UCUCGACAGGGCGAGACUAAAGAGACCAUUAAGCCCUGAGCGGUCUGCGGAUUUUGCGGACGUUGGU